AGUGGGGAAUAUUGCACAAUGGGCGCAAGCCUGAUGCAGCCAUGCCGCGUGUAUGAAGAAGGCCUUCGGGUUGUAAAGUACUUUCAGCAGUGAGGAAGGUGUUGUCGUUAAUAGCGGCAUCAUUUGACGUUAGCUGCAGAAGAAGCACCGGCUAACUCCGUGCCAGCAGCCGCGGUAAUACGGAGGGUGCGAGCGUUAAUCGGAAUUACUGGGCGUAAAGCGCAUGCAGGUGGUUUGUUAAGUCAGAUGUGAAAGCCCGGGGCUCAACCUCGGAAUUGCAUUUGAAACUGGCAGACUAGAGUACUGUAGAGGGGGGUAGAAUUUCAGGUGUAGCGGUGAAAUGCGUAGAGAUCUGAAGGAAUACCGGUGGCGAAGGCGGCCCCCUGGACAGAUACUGACACUCAGAUGCGAAAGCGUGGGGAGCAAA
rnacentral:rRNA from 1 species